rnacentral:rRNA from 1 species
UACGUAAGGAGCGAACGUUAUCCGGAUUUACUGGGUAUAAAGUGCGCGUAGGCGGUUACUUAAGUUAGGUGUUAAAUCCUUUAGCUCAACUAAAGUCUGCAUCUAAAACUGGGUAACUAGAGAGUAGUAGAGGAAAGCGGAACUCACAGUGUAGCGGUGAAAUGCAUAGAUAUUGUGAGGAACACCGGUUGCGAAGGCGGCUUUCUGGCCUAUUUCUGACGCUGAGGUGCGAAAGCGUGGGGAGCGAACGGG